rnacentral:rRNA from 1 species
GUGCCAGCCGCCGCGGUAAUACGUAGGGGACGAGCGUUGUCCGGAAUUACUGGGCGUAAAGGGCGCGCAGGCUGCGUUACAAGUCAGCUGUUAAAAUCAUGGGCUUACCCCAUGAGUGCGGUUGAAACUGUAGUGCUCGAGUACUGUAGAGGCAAGCGGAAUUCCCAGUGUAGCGGUGAAAUGCGUAGAUAUUGGGAGGAACACCGGUGGCGUAGGCGGCUUGCUGGACAGUAACUGACGCUGAGGCGCGAAAGCCAGGGGAGCAAACGGGAUUAGAUACCCCGGUAGUCCUGGCUGUAAACGAUGAAUGCUAGGUGUGGGUGUAGCGAUACAUCUGUGCCGUAGUUAACGCGUUAAGCAUUCCGCCUGGGGAGUACGGUCGCAAGAUUGAAACUCAAAUAAAUUGACGG